GCUCGGAAGGAAUUGGUCCUGUUAGCUGGUUAGCACCCAAAUCCAAGACCUUCAGGUUUUUCAAUAGGCCAAUCUCCUUAGGAAUUGUACCAAUCAGCACAUUUCCAUGCAAAAUUAGUUCUUGCAAAGAGGAGAGUAAAUGCAAGUUGGGUGAAAGAAACCCCUUCAACGAAGCGCCAGAAAUGUUUAUUUUUAUGACAUGAUCUUGAGCCAUAGAACAAA
rnacentral:misc_RNA from 1 species